GAUGAACGCUGGCGGCGUGCCUAAUACAUGCAAGUCGAGCGAACAGACGAGGAGCUUGCUCCUCUGACGUUAGCGGCGGACGGGUGAGUAACACGUGGAUAACCUACCUAUAAGACUGGGAUAACUUCGGGAAACCGGAGCUAAUACCGGAUAAUAUAUUGAACCGCAUGGUUCAAUAGUGAAAGACGGUUUUGCUUUCACUUAUAGAUGGAUCCGCGCCGCAUUAGCUAGUUGGUAAGGUAACGGCUUACCAAGGCAACGAUGCGUAGACGACCUGAGAGGGUGAUCGGCCACACUGGAACUGAGACACGGUCCAGACUCCUACGGGAGGCAGCAGUAGGGAAUCUUCCGCAAUGGGCGAAAGCCUGACGGAGCAACGCCGCGUGAGUGAUGAAGGUCUUCGGAUCGUAAAACUCUGUUAUUAGGGAAGAACAAAUGUGUAAGUAACUAUGCACGUCUUGACGGUACCUAAUCAGAAAGCCACGGCUAACUACGUG
rnacentral:rRNA from 1 species